rnacentral:rRNA from 1 species
UAUCUCUGUAGAGUCUGCAUAUCAAUAAGCGGAGGAAAAGAAACUAACAAGGAUUCCCUUAGUAACGGCGAGUGAAGCGGGAAGAGCUCAAAUUUGAAAUCUUCAAGGUUCUACCUUGACGAAUUGUAGUUUAAAGAAGUGUUUUCUGUUAGAUGAGUAGCAAAAGUUCCUUGGAAUGGGACAUCAUAGAGGGUGAGAAUCCCGUAUUUGGUUAUUCAUUCUAGCUUUGUGAUACACUUUCAAAGAGUCGGAUUGUUUGGGAAUGCAGUCCAAAAUGGGUGGUAAAUUUCAUCUAAAGCUAAAUAUUGGCGAGAGACCGAUAGCGAACAAGUACCGUGAGGGAAAGAUGAAAAGAACUUUGAAAAGAGAGUUAAACAGUACGUGAAAUUGUCAAAAGGGAAGCGUUUGAUCACCAGUGUUGUUUUUCCGAAAAUCAAUUACGAAUGGCUUGAUUUUGUGUUGUAUUGACCUUAUCAGCUUUCUCAAUUUGUUUUGGAGUCUCUUUUGAAUGCACUUUUCGGUUAACAAGUCAACAUCAAUUUCCUUUGCUGUAAAAGAGUAUAGGAAGGUGGCUUCAUUUCGGUAGAAAGUGUUUAUAGCCCUAUUAUCUCUACAAUCGGGAGAUUGAGGUCUGCAGCGUAGAUCCUUCGGGGCUAGAUACACUUGAUGCUAAGUUAGUAGCUUCUCAUAGACAACUUGUCGACUAUGUUUAGUCAUGUAGCUUACUCGUAAGUGCUAUUUUACCUACGCUUAGGAUGUUGACUGAUAUGUAGUCGU